rnacentral:lncRNA from 1 species
GAAGACAUGAAUAUUCUAGUCCUUAAAUUCAAAAGGUUCACGAGGCACAUAAAAUAACCUAAAAAUAUUAACAUAAAAAUAAAAAAUAUCAUUCUUUAUUCCAACAUGCGUGCGGAAAUAAAAGUCACAUAAAGCAAAUUUUUCAUCAAAAUCGAAUGUAACAUGAAAAAUACAAAAAAAAAACUACAAAGGAAUAAAAAAGCUUACAUUGAAUGAGACAAAAACAACAUGGAAUCCUCUAAUAUGUGAAUUUAUUUAUAAUGAGAUAUUCUCCAUCU